rnacentral:rRNA from 1 species
GAUGAACGCUGGCGGCGUGCCUAAUACAUGCAAGUCGAGCGAACGGACGAGAAGCUUGCUUCUCUGAUGUUAGCGGCGGACGGGUGAGUAACACGUGGAGAACCUACCUAUAAGACUGGGAUAACUUCGGGAAACCGGAGCUAAUACCGGAUGAUAUUUUGAACCGCAUGGUUCAAAAGUGAAAGACGGUCUUGCUGUAACUUAUAGAUGGAUCCGCGCUGCAUUAGCUAGUUGGUAAGGUAACGGCUUACCAAGGCAACGAUGCAUAGCCGACCUGAGAGGGUGAUCGGCCACACUAGAACUGAGACACGGUCCAGACUCCUAAGGGAGGCAGCAGUAGCGAAUCUUCCGCAAUGGGCGAAAGCCUGACGGAGCAACGACGCGUGAGUGCUGAAGGUCUUCGGAUCGUAAAACUCUGUUAUUAGGGAAGAACAUAUGUGUAAGUAACUGUGAACAUCUUGACGGUACCUAAUCAGAAAGCCAAGGCUAACUACGUG